AUUGAACGCUGGCGGCAGGCCUAACACAUGCAAGUCGGACGGUAGCACAGAGGAGCUUGCUCCUCGGGUGACGAGUGGCGGACGGGUGAGUAAAGUCUGGGGAUCUGCCCGAUAGAGGGGGAUAACCACUGGAAACGGUGGCUAAUACCGCAUAACGUCGCAAGACCAAAGAGGGGGACCUUCGGGCCUCUCACUAUCGGAUGAACCCAGAUGGGAUUAGCUAGUAGGCGGGGUAACGGCCCACCUAGGCGACGAUCCCUAGCUGGUCUGAGAGGAUGAACAGCCACACUGGAACUGAGACACGGGCCAGACUCCUACGGGAGGCAGCAGUGGGGAAUAUUGCACAAUGGGCGCAAGCCUGAUGCAGCCAUGCCGCGUGUAUGAAGAAGGCCUUCGGGUUGUAAAGUACUUUCAGCGGGGAGGAAGGCGAUGUGGUUAAUACCGCGUCGAUUGACGUUACCCGCAGAAGAAGCACCGGCCAACUCCGUGCCAGCCGCCGCAGUAA
rnacentral:rRNA from 1 species